GACGGAGGAUGCAAGCGUUAUCCGGAAUUAUUGGGCGUAAAGCGUCCGCAGGUGGACAUACAAGUCUGCUGUCAAAGUGCAGAGCUUAACUCUGUAAGGGCGGUGGAAACUGUAGGUCUUGAGUAUGGUAGGGGUAGAGGGAAUUCCCGGUGUAGCGGUGAAAUGCGUAGAUAUCGGGAAGAACACCAGUGGCGAAAGCGCUCUACUGGGCCAUAACUGACACUGAGGGACGAAAGCUAGGGGAGCGAAAGGG
rnacentral:rRNA from 1 species